CACCGGCUGGAGCGGCGGCACGGAGCCCGCGACGCUCACGGCCUCGUGCGACGACCCGGACGCCGCGGCGGCCGGCACCGUCUCCGGCACCGCCGCC
rnacentral:tRNA from 1 species